AUUGAACGCUGGCGGCAGGCUUAACACAUGCAAGUCGAACGGUAACAUAAAGGAGCUUGCUUCUUUGAUGACGAGUGGCGGACGGGUGAGUAAUGCUUGGGAAUCUAGCUUAUGGAGGGGGAUAACUACGGGAAACUGUAGCUAAUACCGCGUAGAAUCGGGAGAUGAAAGUGUGGGACCUUCGGGCCACAUGCCAUAGGAUGAGCCCAAGUGGGAUUAGGUAGUUGGUGAGGUAAAGGCUCACCAAGCCGACGAUCUCUAGCUGGUCUGAGAGGAUGACCAGCCACACUGGGACUGAGACACGGCCCAGACUCCUACGGGAGGCAGCAGUGGGGAAUAUUGCGCAAUGGGGGCAACCCUGACGCAGCCAUGCCGCGUGAAUGAAGAAGGCCUUCGGGUUGUAAGGUUCUUUCGGUAGCGAGGAAGGCAUUUAGUUUAAUAGACUAGGUGAUUGACGUUAACUACAGAAGAAGCACCGGCUAACUCCGUG
rnacentral:rRNA from 1 species